rnacentral:rRNA from 1 species
GUUUGAUCCUGGCUCAGAGCGAACGCUGGCGGCAGGCCUAACACAUGCAAGUCGAACGGACCCUUCGGGGUUAGUGGCGGACGGGUGAGUAACACGUGGGAACGUGCCCUUCGGUUCGGAAUAACUCAGGGAAACUUGAGCUAAUACCGGAUACGCCCUUUUGGGGAAAGGUUUACUGCCGAAGGAUCGGCCCGCGUCUGAUUAGCUAGUUGGUGGGGUAACGGCCUACCAAGGCUUCGACGCCUAGCCGGACUGAGAGGUCGGCCGGCCACAUCGGGACUGAGACACUGCCCGGACUCCUACGGGGGGCUGCAGUAAUGAAUCUUCCGCAAUGCACGAAAGUGUGACGGAGCGACGCCGAGUGAAGGAUGAAGUCCCUCGGGAUGUAAACUUCUAAAACCUGUUAGAAAGUUCUGAUCGACAGGCUAUAAGUGGCGACUAACUCUGUGCCAGCAGUCGCGGUAAUACAGAGGCCACGAGCGUUAGGCGGAAUCACUGGGCUUAAAGCGUGUGUAGGUGGAUGGGUAAGUACCUUGUGAAAUCCCACGGCUCAACCGUGGAACUGCUUGGUAUACUGCCUGUCUUGAGGCACUCAGGGGCGAGCGGAACAGAUGGUGGAGCGGUGAAAUGCGUAGAUAUCAUCUGGAACGCCAAUGGUGAAGACAGCUCGCUGGGGGUGUACUGACACUGAGACACGAAAGCCAGGGGAGCAAACGGGAUUAGAUACCCCGGUAGUCCUGGCCCUAAACGAUGUCCACUAGAUGGUGGCGGCUCUGACGCCGUCAUGGUCGAAGCAAAAGUGAUAAGUGGACCGCCUGGGAAGUACGGUCGCAAGGCUAAAACUCAAAGGAAUUGACGG